UUUCCGUAGGUGAACCUGCGGAAGGAUCGUUAAAUUCAGUAGCUUGCUACUGUUAGGGGGGUCCGUUAGUCUGUAUAGUAUCACUACUGAUGAGCAGCACGACCCUCUGUCUAUAUCCUUGUCUUUUGCGCACUCAUGUUUCCUCGGCGGCUUGAUACCCGCCGGCUGAAUCAAUCUAUAACCUUUUUAAUUUUCAAUCAGCGUCUGAAAAACCUAAUAAUUACAACUUUCAACAACGGAUCUCUUGGUUCUG
rnacentral:misc_RNA from 1 species